rnacentral:lncRNA from 1 species
CUGACACUGCACGUGGUGGGGAGGAGGCGCCUGCCAUGUAAUACCUAUUUAAACUGGCAGAGCUGCGGGAGAGCUGCAAUCAUCUGCUGCGGAUCUUUUAUUACGUGGCAAGUUUAGAAUAACAUUUUCAAAACAUACAACUUCAAACAUCUAAGUCCUCAUGAGAUGAUACAGUACGUGGAUCUCGAGUGCAUCUGUGUUUCCCAGAGGCCCUUGCGGGACUCCUGGCCACCGGAUGGUAAGCUCUGCCUUCAGAACGGCUCUUUCCACCGUUCUGAAAUGCCCUCCCUCAUAGACACCUCAGGUGUGUUUCUCUGCUGACUCUAAAUCCAGUCAACUUGUCAAAGAUUAACCAUCAGAGUGUGUCAAUGAUCAAGUCAGAGGGAAGAACUCUUUCACCACAAAUCAUACUUGGAUAUUGGAGUGAGCAGGAUGUAGCCCACAGGGUACCACACCCACCUCCCUUCUCUUCACCCUUCUGUCUGCUCCUGGACACCAGCAGAGCCCUCAAGCCAUUGGUACCAAGCCUCAUCCUCCCUCUGACUCCUGAUGGGAGCAGAAGACUCAUCUUUUCAAUAACUGUAUCCUUCCAGGUUAGGAAAUCGGAAACAUCUCAAUCCUUCAACAUUCUCCUCUUUUCCCUUUCAAUUUUUUUUGUUACUGGCACCAAAUAGUUGAUAUGGCAUGGCGGGUUGUCUAUGAACUCACCAGUGAUCUAAUAACACGGAGGCUUAUUAUUAUUUUAAAGCUUAGGCCUACUAAUCCCAGCCUAUGUCCUGUCACAUGCCUACAUCCUCCUCUCUGCUCUGCUCUGGUCCACCAGUCCACCCCGAGUCAGCUCGUGAACCUCCUGUGGCUCAGUUCUCCACCCAGAGUCCCUGUUUCUGCCCGGAAGUCCCACCUUCCACUUCUUGCUCAGCCAUUGGCUGUCAGGUUUUUAUUACAUUCAAUAGGCAGGUAAGGAAGCAUGAAUGUUUACACAAUACGAGGCCAGUGAUGGGCCAUAGAUAAAACAGUACAAAGAUCUGGCUAGUACUUAGCUUUCUGCCAGUUUGGCCACCAGUGAUUGGAUUUACAGAGACAACCUUCACAGAGUGUACCAAAGGUUACCCAACAGGUUCUUCUUGGUGCUCAGAUUAGAAACCUAGCAAUUAUCCGGGAAUCCUUCUCCACCACUCUCCAUGUCCCAUGGGAAAUGGGCUCCUUUUAUUUACUUUAAAAAGUAAAGCUAAGGCUGUUGGGGCCGCAGCCUUUGCUCUUAGCCCUGUUAUACAGCCAUGUUGGAUGACUCCUGAUUCCUCAAAUAAACUUCUCUUUAUCUUUACACAUC